rnacentral:rRNA from 1 species
UUUAGCAUUUAGGCUGCUCCUCACUGAUCUCAUCUUAUCUUGGUUGCUAAGAAGGGCUGGGUCUGGAUAGCAUUUGGGUGGGAGAGUAUUUGGGAAAACCAGAAAUGCCAGGU